UAAGGAAUAUUGGUCAAUGGACGCAAGUCUGAACCAGCCAUGCCGCGUGAAGGAUGAAGGUCCUCUGGAUUGUAAACUUCUUUCAUCUGGGACGAAAACGGGAUUUUUAUCUCAAUUGACGGUACCAGAGGAAUAAGCACCGGCUAACUCCGUGCCAGCAGCCGCGGUAAUACGGAGGGUGCGAGCGUUAUCCGGAUUUACUGGGUUUAAAGGGUGCGUAGGUGGGCUUAUAAGUCAGUGGUGAAAUCUCCGAGCUUAACUUGGAAACUGCCGUUGAUACUAUAGGUCUUGAAUUAUCUGGAGGUAAGCGGAAUAUGUCAUGUAGCGGUGAAAUGCUUAGAUAUGACAUAGAACACCAAUUGCGAAGGCAGCUUACUACAUAUAAAUUGACGCUGAGGCACGAAAGCGUGGGGAUCAAACA
rnacentral:rRNA from 1 species